UUGGAGGGCAAGUCUGGUGCCAGCAGCCGCGGUAAUUCCAGCUCCAAUAGCGUAUAUUAAAGUUGCUGCAGUUAAAAAGCUCGUAGUUGAAUUUCGGGACCAUCAUGUCGGUCGUGCCUCGGUACGUACUGGUAUUGUUGGUUUCUCCCUUCUGACGAAUCAUGAUGUCAUUUAUUUGGUGUUGUGGGGAAUCAGGACUGUUACUUUGAAAAAAUUAGAGUGUUUAAAGCAGGCUCACGCUUGAAUACAUUAGCAUGGAAUAAUGAAAUAGGACGUUUGAUUCUAUUUUGUUGGUUUCUAGGAUCGACGUAAUGAUUAAUAGGGAUAGUUGGGGGCAUUAGUAUUCAAUUGUCAGAGGUGAAAUUCUUGGAUUUAUUGAAGACUAACUACUGCGAAAGCAUUUGCCAAGGAUGUUUUCAUUAAUCAAGAACGAAAGUUAGGGGAUCGAAGACGAUCAGAUACCGUCGUAGUCUUAACCAUAAACUAUGCCGACUAGGGAUCGGAUGAUGUUAAUUUUUUAAUGACUCAUUCGGCGCCUUACGGGAAAC
rnacentral:rRNA from 1 species